rnacentral:rRNA from 1 species
CGGUACAGAGGGCUGCGAUCCCGCAAGGGGAGCGAAUCCCAAAAAGCCGCGCUCAGUUCGGAUCGGGGUCUGCAACCCGACCCCGUGAAGUCGGAGUCGCUAGUAAUCGCAGAUCAGCAACGCUGCGGUGAAUACGUUCCCGGGCCUUGUACACACCGCCCGUCACACCACGAAAGUGGGCAACACCCGAAGCCGGUGGCCCAACCCUUUGGGAGGGAGCCGUCGAAGUGGGCUCGCGAUUGGGGUGAAGUCGU